CGACGGAGUGGAGAGCUAACCAGACCUUUAUGACUAUUAUAAGGCACAAAGAAACGUAUAAACUGAAGCUGUAUUAUUAAGACCUGCGACUUUUCCAAGAGGAAAGGCGUUAGACGGCCUUUCAGGCAGAACCCGAUAAAUAUCCAGCCAGAGAGACCGAGGUUGAUGUGAGGAUCGCGCAGAUUCAGCUUCUCAGUGCCAAGAGGAAGUGGCUAGUUUCAGCGUCCACGGUUCCCAUGGUGACUCUCCUCACUUCCGGCCGGGCGCAAACGCACCCCUAGCCACCCGCCCUAAUACGAGGAUAGCCCGUGACAACCAGAAUGCAGUAUCCCUAAAGCCUCUGCAGUCCCUGCGAUUGUGGGAUCCUGACUAUGUCAGGAUUUUGGCUUUGCAGGGUGUGGCAAGGUGAAGGGUCUGGUACUCCCUCUUGGGGGUCGUGGAGCGUUGGGGGGUCUUGCUCUUGCCUGGGGCUGGAGUGCAGGGUGAAGUCACACCUCAUUGCAGCCUCAACCUCCCAGACUCAAGCAAUCCUCCCACCUCAGCAGGCAUAUAUAAAUGGAAUCAUCGAAAUUUAAAAUUUGCACUUCAAAGAACACCAUCAAGAAAGUGAAGACAACCCAGAGAAUGGGAGAAAAUAUUUGCAAUCAUAUAUCUGAUAAAGGACAUGUAUACAGAAUUUUGUAAAACUAUUACAACUGAAUAAUAAGAACAAAUAACACAAUGAAAAAAAUAGGCAAAGUAUUUGGUUAGAUAGUUCUCCAAAGAAGAUAUAUAAUGGCCAAUAAACACAUGAAAAGAUGCCGAACAUCAUUAGCCAUCAGGGAAAUGCAAAUCAAAACGACAGUAAGAUACCACUUCCCACCUACUAGCUUGACCGUAAUCCAGAAGACAGAUUACAAGUAUUGGAAAGGAUGUGAAGAAAUUACAACUUUCAUAACUUGCUGGCAGGAAUGUAAAAUGGUGCAACCAUUUUGGAAAACAGUCUGGCAGUUUCUUCAGUCAGUAAAACAUACCAUAUGACCCAGCAAUUCCACCCCUAGUUGUAUACUUAAGAGAAAUGAAAAUGUGUGCACCAAGAACUUGUAUAUGAAUGUUCAUAGCUGCAAAAUCCAUAACAGUCAUUAUGUGGAAACAACCUAAAUGUCUAUCAGCUGAUGUAUGAAUAAACAAAACAUGCUAUGUUCAUACAAUGGAAUAUUGUUUGGCCAUAGUAAGAAAUGGUACCAAUACAUGCUACAAUGUGAAUGAACCUUAAAAACAUGCUAAGUGAAAGAAGUCAGUCACAGAAAACCACAUAUAAUAUGAUUCUAUUGAUAUGAAAUAUCCAGAAUAGGCAAAUAUACAGAGAUAGAAAGAUUAGUGGUUGCCUAUGGGGAGGGGCUUGGGGAGUGGUAUCUAAAUGGUGCAGUUUCUUUUGGAGGUAGUGAAAGAGUUCUAAAAAAUGACUGGGAGGCCAGGUGCAUGGCUCAGGCCUGUAAUCCCAGCACUUUUGAAGGCUGAGGCAGGAGGAUUGCUCGAGCCAAGGAGAUCAAGAUCAGCCUAGGCAACAUAGCGAGACCCCAUCUCUAUAAAAAAAAUUAAUUAAAGGAAAAAGAUGAUCAGGGCAGUAAAUACACAAGUCUGUGAUUAUACUAAAACCAUUGAAAUGUAAACUUUUAAUGGGUAAAUUGCAUAGUAUUUGGAUUAUAUCUGAAUAAAGCUGUUUUUAGAAAAA
rnacentral:lncRNA from 1 species